GCAUUAAUGGGGUAGUGGUAACCUGGGUCGUUGCCAUCGAUAUGUAUUUCUGUAUGUAUCGACCCGCCGGGGGUUCGAUUCCCUCUUAAUGCA
rnacentral:tRNA from 1 species